rnacentral:misc_RNA from 1 species
GGUUUGAUUCUGGCUCAGAUUGAACGCUGGCGGGAUGCUUUACACAUGCAAGUCGAACGGCAGCACGGACUUCGGUCUGGUGGCGAGUGGCGAACGGGUGAGUAAUGUAUCGGAACGUGCCUAGUAGCGGGGGAUAACUACGAAAGCGUAGCUACUACCGCCACGCCCUUCGGGGAAAGCGGGGGGACCUUUCGGGCCUCGCACUAUUAGAGCGGCCGAUAUCGGAUUACUAGUUGGUGGGGCAACGGGUUUACCGCGACGAUCCGUAGCUGGUUUGAGAGGACGACCAGCCACACUGGGACUGAGACACGGCCCAGACUCCUACGGGAGGCAGCAGUGGGGAAUUUUGACAAUGGGGGAAACCCUGAUCCAGCCAUCCCGCGUGUGCGAUGAAGGCCUUCGGGUUGUAAAGCACUUUUGGCAGGAAGAAACGGCACGGAUAAUACUCCGUGCAGCUGACGGUACCUGCAGAAUAAGCACCGGCUAACUACGUGCCAGCAGCCGCGGUAAUACGUAGGUGCAAGCGCGUUAAUCGGAAUUACUGGGCGUAAAGCGUGCGCAGGCGGUUCUGGAAAGAAAGAUGU